rnacentral:rRNA from 1 species
CCCUUAGAUGUCCGGGGCCGCACGCGCGCUACAAUGACAGUAUAAAUGGGUAUUAAAACCUGGUUUGAAAGAACUGGGAAACCCUUGAAAUACCGUCUCAUCAGGGAUUGAGAUUUGUAAUUAUUUCUCAUGAACGAGGAAUUCCUAGUAGGCGCAAGUCAUCAGCUUGCGCCGAUUACGUCCCUGCCCUUUGUACACACCGCCCGUCGCUACUACCGAUUGAAUGGUUUAGUGAGGAUAUCGGAUUGAGUCUAAGUAGGGGUAACUCUACUAUGAUUUAAAAAGAUAUUCAAACUUGAUCAUUUAGAGGAAGUAAAANUCGUAACA